UGAAUUGAAAAUAAUAUCUUGAUGACAGGGUGGAUCAAUGUAUUUUGCACAUAGGUGUGUGCACAAAAUCUCCUCCCUGUCAGGUUAAUUUCCACUCCUCUAGGCAUGAUAACAGACCUGAAACAAAUUGACAAUCAUUUUAAGGACUACUACACCUCUCUACAAUGAUGAAUGAGGGGGCUGUACAUUGGAACAACCUCUAUAGUCUAUAGAAUAAUUCAGUACUGCUAUUGCCUCAAUUCAGUGUGGAAAAUCCCCAGAACCUGAUAGUUACUCUAUGGAGUUCUAUAGAAAUGUUUUUUCCAUAGUUAGCCCUCUUAUGAAUUGAUGAAUCAUUUGCUUAAAGCCCCCCUGUGUAACGUUUUCAGUUGUUUGUUAACUAAAUCAACAUUUACCAUUCAUAAAUGUGGCCUCAUUCAUGUUUAAUUAUGACCACCACCAAUUCGAAGCAUACCUAUGGCUUAGAAAUCCUCAUUUAAAUCUACAUAGCACAGGGGCGACUAGCCAUGUACAUGCGCCAUGUUAAAAUACCGGUGGCCAGCAAGGGACAUAACAUGUGAAUACAGCUCAGUCUUUGGCGUCUGGAUGCAUAGAAAAACAUUAGCUUGGAUUCAUCUGCAGAAUUUCCCUACAUUUAGCAAUAAGCGAUCAUGAAAUUGAAGCCAGGGCUGGAAGAGGAGGUGGAGCUCCUGAUAGCGGAGGUCUUAAAACAUGCCCCUGCAGCCCACACCAAAAGUUUAUGGGUCGGAUGGAACACCAGGUGGAAGACCAUCCGCAAAAUUGAAUUUCCACAUUAUUUUAAAUAAAAUAUAAUUUGUUAGUGUACAGUUGUCUUUUCUUUUGAAUAGGCUCAACAUUAGCAACAGCCAGUCAAAAUGCAGGUGAAAUAUGAAUGUGGCUUGUCUAGGCUAUCUCAACUAGAUUUUGUGCGUGGCAGUCAUAAAUUGAUACUUGUUAGUGCAGCUGUCUUGAAUAGGCUUGGGGUCAACAUUAGCAACAGCCACCAGCCAGAAUGCAGGUAUAUGAAUGUGACUAGAUUUUGUGGAUUCUAUGGGCAAAUGAGGACUGCACAUGCAGAUCCGCCCUAACGUGCUGGCGACAUUAUGGCAACCUUUCUCAGGAAGGUUACUACAAUGUCGCCAGUAUGUCUUUUGGUUGCCGCGACGUGGCGGUUACGUGCGAGAAACGUUGCCAAGAUAUGUUGCGGCAACGUAAUCGCGUCUUUCACCCGCACGUAUCGGCAACGUUAGAACUUACGUGGCGGCAACAUAUGUUUGGUAAUAAAGUUACGUAACCGCCGCGUAACAGCGACGUAACUGUGUUAGUUGGGAUAGCCAAUUAUCUCACCUAGCUGUAGGAAAAAGGCUACGUUCACAAGUGAUAGAAUGAAUGUGUGACUUGUGUUUAGUUGAUGUUUAUGGAGUUACAUUUGUUCCACUUUUAUGAGCGAGCAAUAGCACAAUUUGAGUGCAGAAAAUAUUUUGACCGAGCACAGAAAUUAUAUUUUGAGG